AACGAACGCUGGCGGCAUGCCUAACACAUGCAAGUCGAACGAGAUCCUUCGGGGUCUAGUGGCGCACGGGUGCGUAACGCGUGGGAAUCUGCCCUUAGGUUCGGAAUAACAGUUAGAAAUGACUGCUAAUACCGGAUGAUGACGUUAAGUCCAAAGAUUUAUCGCCUGAGGAUGAGCCCGCGUAGGAUUAGCUAGUUGGUGUGGUAAAGGCGCACCAAGGCGACGAUCCUUAGCUGGUCUGAGAGGAUGAUCAGCCACACUGGGACUGAGACACGGCCCAGACUCCUACGGGAGGCAGCAGUGGGGAAUAUUGGACAAUGGGCGCAAGCCUGAUCCAGCAAUGCCGCGUGAGUGAUGAAGGCCUUAGGGUUGUAAAGCUCUUUUACCCGAGAUGAUAAUGACAGUAUCGGGAGAAUAGCCCCGGCUAACUCCGUG
rnacentral:rRNA from 1 species